UCCACGCCGUAAACGAUGUCGACUUGGAGGUUGUUCCCUUGAGGAGUGGCUUCCGGAGCUAACGCGUUAAGUCGACCGCCUGGGGAGUACGGCCGCAAGGUUAAAACUCAAAUGAAUUGACGGGGGCCCGCACAAGCGGUGGAGCAUGUGGUUUAAUUCGAUGCAACGCGAAGAACCUUACCUACUCUUGACAUCCACGGAAUUCGGCAGAGAUGCCUUAGUGCCUUCGGGAACCGUGAGACAGGUGCUGCAUGGCUGUCGUCAGCUCGUGUUGUGAAAUGUUGGGUUAAGUCCCGCAACGAGCGCAACCCUUAUCCUUUGUUGCCAGCGAUUCGGUCGGGAACUCAAAGGAGACUGCCGGUGAUAAACCGGAGGAAGGUGGGGAUGACGUCAAGUCAUCAUGGCCCUUACGAGUAGGGCUACACACGUGCUACAAUGGCGCAUACAAAGAGAAGCGACCUCGCGAGAGCAAGCGGACCUCACAAAGUGCGUCGUAGUCCGGAUCGGAGUCUGCAACUCGACUCCGUGAAGUCGGAAUCGCUAGUAAUCGUGGAUCAGAAUGCCACGGUGAAUACGUUCCCGGGCCUUGUACACACCGCCCGUCACACCAUGGGAGUGGGUUGCAAAAGAAGUAGGUAGCUUAACCUUCGGGAGGGCGCUUACCACUUUGUGAUUCAUGACUGGG
rnacentral:rRNA from 2 species